rnacentral:rRNA from 1 species
UACAGAGGGGGCAAGCGUUAUUCGGAAUUAUUGGGCGUAAAGGGCGCGUAGGCGGCCUGGCAAGUGGAAGGUGAAAUCCCUCGGCUUAACCGAGGAACUGCCCUCCAAACUGCUUGGCUUGAGUCCGGGAGAGGUGAGUGGAAUUCCCAGUGUAGCGGUGAAAUGCGUAGAUAUUGGGAGGAACACCAGUGGCGAAGGCGGCCUGCUGGGCAGUGGCUGACGCUGAGGCGCGACAGCGUGGGGAGCAAACAGG